AUUGAACGCUGGCGGCAGGCCUAACACAUGCAAGUCGAACGAGUGGCGGACGGGUGAGUACUGUCUGGGAAACUGCCUGAUGGAGGGGGAUAACUACUGGAAACGGUAGCUAAUAACGCAUACCAUCAGAUGUGCCCCGAUGGGAUUAGCUUGUUGGUGGGGUAACGGCUCACCAAGGCGACGAUCCCUAGCUGGUCUGAGAGGAUGACCGGCCACACGGGAACUGAGACCCGACCCAGACUCCUGCGAGAGGCAGCAGUGGAGAAGAUUGCACAAGGGGCGCAAGCCUGAUGCAGCCAUGCAACGUGUAUGAAGAGGGCCUUCGGGUUGUAAAGUACGUUCAGCGGGGAGGCGUUACCCGCAGAAGAAGCACCGGCUAACUCCGUGCCAGCAGCCGCGGUAAUAC
rnacentral:rRNA from 1 species